rnacentral:rRNA from 1 species
GGGGCAUCGGAGUGAGGGCUCUGGGUCACCUCCCACCCGUGUUUAUUUACCUUGUUGCUUCGGCGGGCCCGCCUUAACUGGCCGCCGGGGGGCUCACGCCCCCGGGCCCGCGCCCGCCGAAGACACCCUCGAACUCUGUCUGAAGAUUGUAGUCUGAGUGAAAAUAUAAAUUAUUUAAAACUUUCAACAACGGAUCUCUUGGUUCCGGCAUCGAUGAAGAACGCAGCGAAAUGCGAUACGUAAUGUGAAUUGCAAAUUCAGUGAAUCAUCGAGUCUUUGAACGCACAUUGCGCCCCCUGGUAUUCCGGGGGGCAUGCCUGUCCGAGCGUCAUUGCUGCCCUCAAGCACGGCUUGUGUGUUGGGCCCCGUCCUCCGAUUCCGGGGGACGGGCCCGAAAGGCAGCGGCGGCACCGCGUCCGGUCCUCGAGCGUAUGGGGCUUUGUCACCCGCUCUGUAGGCCCGGCCGGCGCUUGCCGAUCAACCCAAAUUUUUAUCCAGGUUGACCUCGGAUCAGGUAGGGAUACCCGCUGAACUUAAGCAUAUCAAUAAGCGGAGGAAAACACGAUCUCAAAUCAGGUACAACUACCCGCUGAACUUAAACAUAUCAGUAUCCGGAGGACCUUAAAGGGGGCGGAAG